GCAGGCAGGCGGCCAGGCAGGCGGCUAACUGCCAUCGCAGGCUCAAGGAUGCCUCAGAGCGCUGCGGAAUGGCAUCCUAAAAAAAUCAAUCGAUUGAUCGACAAGCUUUUAUUAAGUGCCUACUAUGUGCCAGGCACGUUGGUGAAACAAUCUGUGCUUUCAAGGAUGGUGUCUUUUAUUGGGGCAAAUGAUACAUGCAUGCAUACUUUGCUCUUCCGGUUACCUCAUUCUUCCAGGAUCAUGGUCAUUUUUGAUUCUCAAGACAUUUAGCAUUUUGGGAGAAUGUACACAGGUUUCCACAUCCUCAAAAAUUCUUUACCAUCCUUAUACAGCUCCUCUGCUGAUUCUUCAGACUUUUCCAACUCCUCCCAGGAGCCUUCCCACCCAGGAGAUGCCUGCACUCCAUUUUAAGAGGGAAUUCCACUGAAGAGGAAGGGAAGGGCAUUCCAGUCAUCAGGAACAGAAUGAACUUCGUUAGACUCUGAAAGGGAAGAGUCUUCCUCCUACCCCUCCCCUCUUUUCACCAACCCCUCUUUAAGACACAACUGAAAAGAACUUAGGUUCAUUCUUUCCAGUUUGUUCCAAACCCUUAGCUGUCCCCCGCCCCCAAGUUUAAUUCUAUUCUAGAAAUUGUUUCUCCUUCAUUUUGCUGUCACUUGAACAAUGUUCCACUAAAUUGGGGGUGGGUGGGGGGAACCAAGGAUGGAUUUCUCUAAACUGUAGAGAGGAGGAAAUUCCUUUCUAUCAAAUGUAAGACCCCCUGUCCCGGGUGGGUUUGGCCGUUAGUUUCCUGAAAGACAACCCAGUGAAUUACAAAUUGCAGAAAUUACGGGAAAGAAAAUCAAUGGACUUGACAACAUAAAAACAGAGGAGGUUUGCAAAACAGAAAAAGUAGUGUGUCCAAGAUAUAAAGAGAACAAACAGAUUGGGGAAAGGAAAA